AACAACUCACCUGCCGAAUGAAUUAGCCCUGAAAAUGGAUGACGCUGAAGCCGACAGCCGACACCACGCCGUCUGACCAAAGUGGUUAUCAGAUGAGUAGGAGGGCGUGGCGGUUGUAUGGAAGCGUGGGUGCGAACCUGCGUGAAACGGCCGCUAGUGCAGAUCUUGGUGGUAGUAGCAAAUAUUCAAGUGAGAUCCUUGAAGGACGAAGCGGGGAAGGGUUCCACGCGAACAUUGAUUGAGCGUGGGUGAGUCGUUCCUAAGCCGAGUGGUUAUUGCUAAUUACCGGCGAAAGGGAAGCAGGUUGACAUUCCUGCACACGGAUGUGGAGGCGGUGACGCCGUAUUGGGGUGAUGACGUUGGCAGUGGCUCUGGGCAGAGUUGUCUUUUCUGUUUAACCGUCAGUAUGUACUCUGUGGAAUCCGCUUGUCGGGAGAAACAGGUAUGUACGGGCAUAGCGCCGGGGCUUUUCCGGCGUCCAGAUCGCCACUGACGACCCUUGAAAAAUCACUUACUGGGCAUGGACUCGUUCUGUGCAAAAUCCACGCCGUGGCGUACCGAUAACCGCAUCAGGUCCCCAAGGUGAACAGCCUCUGUCCGAUAUGAAAAAU
rnacentral:rRNA from 1 species